GGGCCCGCACAAGCGGUGGAGUAUGUGGUUUAAUUCGAUGCAACGCGAAGAACCUUACCAGGGCUUGACAUCCUGCGAAUCUCUGGGAAACCGGAGAGUGCCUUCGGGAACGCAGUGACAGGUGGUGCAUGGCUGUCGUCAGCUCGUGUCGUGAGAUGUUGGGUUAAGUCCCGCAACGAGCGCAACCCACGUCUUUAGUUGCCAGCAUUUAGUUGGGCACUCUAGAGAGACCGCCGGUGACAAACCGGAGGAAGGUGUGGAUGACGUCAAGUCAUCAUGCCCCUUACGGCCUGGGCUACACACGUGCUACAAUGGCUAGGACAGACGGCCGCAACCCGCGAGGGG
rnacentral:rRNA from 1 species